rnacentral:rRNA from 1 species
AACACAUGCAAGUCGAGCGGAUGAGGGGAGCUUGCUCCCUGAUUUAGCGGCGGACGGGUGAGUAAUGCCUAGGAAUCUGCCUGGUAGUGGGGGAUAACGUUCCGAAAGGAACGCUAAUACCGCAUACGUCCUACGGGAGAAAGCAGGGGACCUUCGGGCCUUGCGCUAUCAGAUGAGCCUAGGUCGGAUUAGCUAGUUGGUGAGGUAAUGGCUCACCAAGGCGACGAUCCGUAACUGGUCUGAGAGGAUGAUCAGUCACACUGGAACUGAGACACGGUCCAGACUCCUACGGGAGGCAGCAGUGGGGAAUAUUGGACAAUGGGCGAAAGCCUGAUCCAGCCAUGCCGCGUGUGUGAAGAAGGUCUUCGGAUUGUAAAGCACUUUAAGUUGGGAGGAAGGGCAUUAACCUAAUACGUUAGUGUUUUGACGUUACCGACAGAAUAAGCACCGGCUAACUUCGUGCCAGCAGCCGCGGUAAUACGAAGGGUGCAAGCGUUAAUCGGAAUUACUGGGCGUAAAGCGCGCGUAGGUGGUUCGUUAAGUUGGAUGUGAAAGCCCCGGGCUCAACCUGGGAACUGCAUCCAAAACUGGCGAGCUAGAAUACGGUAGAGGG